UACGUAGGUGGCAAGCGUUGUUCGGAAUUAUUGGGCGUAAAGCGCGCGCAGGCGGUUUCUUAAGUCUGAUGUGAAAUCUCGUGGCUCAACCACGAGCGGCCAUUGGAAACUGGGAAACUUGAGUGCAGAAGAGAAGAGCGGAAUUCCACGUGUAGCGGUGAAAUGCGUAGAGAUGUUGAGGAACACCAGUGGCGAAGGCGGCUCUUUGGUCUGUAACUGACGCUGAGGCGCGAAAGCGUGGGGAGGCAAACAGGAUUA
rnacentral:rRNA from 1 species